rnacentral:rRNA from 1 species
UAGGGAAUCUUCCGCAAUGGACGCAAGUCUGACGGAGCAACGCCGCGUGAGUGAAGAAGGAUUUCGGUUCGUAAAACUCUGUUGUUAGAGAAGAACAGCGCAUAGAGUAACUGUUAUGCGUGUGACGGUAUCUAACCAGAAAGCCACGGCUAACUACGUGCCAGCAGCCGCGGUAAUACGUAGGUGGCAAGCGUUGUCCGGAUUUAUUGGGCGUAAAGCGAGCGCAGGCGGUCAAUUAAGUCUGAUGUGAAAGCCCCCGGCUCAACCGGGGAGGGUCAUUGGAAACUGGUUGACUUGAGUGCAGAAGAGGAGAGUGGAAUUCCAUGUGUAGCGGUGAAAUGCGUAGAUAUAUGGAGGAACACAAGUGGCGAAGGCGACUCUCUGGUAUGUAACUGACGCUGAGGUUCGAAAGCGUGGGUAGCAAACAGG